GACCUCUGAAAAUGCAUUCACUAAAACGGAUACUCUAACUUCAUCUGAUUUCUCUAUUCACGGCCACAAAAAACAGUCCAAAAUCCUCUCUCUCUCGUCGGAGUUCCAUCAUCAUCAUCAUCAUCAUCUUCUUCUUCUUCUUCUUCUUCCUUUAUUCUUCUUCAAAUUUCGGCUAAACAAAAUUGGCGCCAUUGUAGCAGAGUUCUCAGCCAUGGGUGAAGAUGCAUGUCGGCCGAAGCCAGUGAAAAAUGUGAUGAAGUGGGUUGGUUUGGUUCCUCACAGCGCCCUCGAGACUGCUAGUCUACGUAUCAUCGACAUCUCUUUUUGAUCAUAGAUAUUGAUUUUAUGUUCUAUUGUUGGUUGAAUAGUGUCCUCCGUGCUUUUCUAUGGACCAACCCGCUAUUGUGAUUGCCCAUCAAGAACUUGGGUCCAGAGUUGUGGAGAACAAUGCAAGUGAUGACCGUGGAAGCAAAGCAAGUUAACCCAAGGAUUUAAAUAUUGAGAAGUCCAAGGGAAACCUUCUUUCGGAGGGUACAGGAAAAAUGCAAUUGGUUUUGUCACGAGGGAGAAAAAGAGACAUUGGGAGAUAUAUGAUAUAUCUAGUGCUAACUCCUCAGGCUUGCAACUUUAAGGAUUCUUAUCUAGUAUCUACUUGCAACUUGCCACUGAAUUUUCAAACUGGUGCGCCCUAUUCUCUUUGUCAACAUAUCACUCUCUUCUCUUUAGUGAUG